CAGCAAAACUUCUCUACCCCGGCCUCGGGCAGGUGCCCGCCCGGGGAGGGGGCUGUCGUCCAGGCCAGGUACAACUCCCCUUCCCACCCUUCACUCCCUACCCAAGGGUCUCGAGAAAAGAGAAGAGGAACAUCAAGACCCCCCUCCACGGCACGUGACGCGACGCAACGCAGAUGAGAAAACUCAAGACUCAGAAACAAUAAAGGUUACAGAGAUGAAAUUGACAGAGCCUGAAUUUCAGGUUAUGAUUCUGUAUGGUUUCUUUGGUGCUGCAUUAGACCUGAGCUCUGAUUGAAAAUUCUUCCACGCUCGCUACAUUCCAAAACUUUAUCUCCAAUAUGAAUUUCCAGAUGCCUCACAAGGUCUGAGCUCCAUCUGAAGGCUUUCCCAUGCUUGUCACAUUCAUAGGGCUUUUCUCCACUAUGAAUUCUAUGAUGUCGAAUAAAGUGUGAGCUCUGAUUA
rnacentral:lncRNA from 10 species